rnacentral:lncRNA from 10 species
AACAGGGGGCCAUGGUGGUGCUUGGGUCAACUGUCAUUCGUGUCCACUCAGAUCCUAUGUCUAAUAGUCCUUGAAAGAUCUAGGGGUUCUCCUUUCUCCGGUGUAGAAUUACUCAGCAUCCUUCCUCAAAGGGACCUGACCUCCCCUUCAAUCAAUGAGUCCUGGAUCUUAGAGCUGACUCACAUGCAGAAACUGGGGAUGCUGCUUCGCUGCCUGAACCUUACUGAGACUUGACCAUAAUUGAUCUACAGCAAAGGGGAGAGGCAGGAGCAGAUCUUCAGGACAGCAAACAUUGUCUGGGAAGGUGGAGAAUUCUGCAGAAUUUCAGAAGCACUGGCUUAGUGUGUUGGAAAUCGUUGAGGCCCUGCCAGACCGUCCGCAUGCCAUCCAGACCGUCCGCAUGCCAUCCAAACCUCCGCAUCAAUGAAAGGGAACUCAGCAAGCAGGAGCUAAGCAGCAAGCAGCCACUGCUCAGUUUGAGGUCCCAGGACAGGAAGAAUUCCUGCAGCAGACACUAAUUGCUUAGGUAAUAGCCAUUCUUCCUUUCUAACAGAAUCCCAGUUACCAUGUGGGUGACGAUGUGCUGUGCUAAAAGCACCUGUCUUC